AUACAAUGUGGCCUAUUGAUGGCGUACACACGGGGGGUGGACAAAAUAAUGGAGGCGCCUAUUAAUGUAACAAUUACAGUUCAGAUCAGUGAUCAUGCUGCAGAUGUCUUCUCUGCUGUGACUGACAACAGUUUCCCAAAAGCCUCUGUAAUGAACUGUUACGGCCUCCCUAAACAAACAAUGGCUCAACUGGAGACCGGAACAUACUACAGAGGACACCAAGACAAUGGAAGUGCCAUAAGAAAUAAUGAGGUCUUAUUUUUUAAACAAAUCCUACUCAGACGUAAUAGAAGAAACAAAGUGGGUUGGACCAGCUUGUGCCCCUGAACUACCUAAGAGAAAAGUCUAACUGUACAAUAAAGGAAACAGAUAACUAGAUCAUUGAAGACCUCUGGCUCAAAACUUUUAAAAAAAAAACUAAAAUAACAAACGCCAACACUCCUCAUUCAUGCUGGGAGCGGAUAAUUAAGCAGUGUCCCCUACUCAUAGGCAACUGUGCCCUCUUUUUCAUUGCUUCUGCAGCCCCCACCUCUCUAAUCAGAGUGCAGAGACAGAGAGAGAGAGAGAGAGAGAGAG